rnacentral:lncRNA from 1 species
UCUACCCUUUUCACUUGAGACAUAGUUUGUUAAGAUACCCCAGCCCGGUGCUAGUAGAUUAGCAAUUCUACUAGCAUGUAUUUGCUUAACUUUAGUUUCUACUAAUCCGACUAGGUUAAUGUUGUUUUUUCUAAUAUACUCCCUAACUUCUUUCUGCUUGUACCUUUUAUGUACACCCCUUAUAUUCCAAACUAACCACUUCAUUGAUGAGAUGUUGAUCCCCCUAACUCCCCUGGAGGGUCUUCUUUGCUACCAGAAACUACUUCGAAUCUAUUACUCACAGUGAUGGGGGACAUAGGUAGGAAAUUAGUGAUGUUGAGUGCUGGACUCUGAGGUUGUUUCCCUUUG